UAGAUCCAUCGUCGUCUCUGCGAGAAUCAAGCAAUCGGAAGUGCUCCAAAUGAUGAUCAUCUCAUCCCGCCUGUGUGACCAUCAAGGGACUUGAAGGUCUUGUCAGGCGAGGAACUGACUUCAAAGGACAGUGAAGACGCGCUACGAUGUCGGAUCCAUUUGCAGGGGCGAAAGGAGGUAGGCUCACCUUCAAGGGAGGAGUCCUAGCCUCCCGUAGUAAGGCUAUUGACAAGAAGAAGAAGAAGAAGAAGAAAGGUAAAAGUAAAGGUGACGAGAACCCUACGGACGAGGGAGAGAUUUUGUCGUCAGCGGAUGGUGCAGAUGGCGGUGUCGGAGAAGUGUAUACUAUUGACGCGGCCAAGCGUAUGAAGUACGAGGAGCUCUUCCCGGUGGAGACAAAGAAGUUUGGUUACGACCCUAACAACUACAAUACCAAGUUGAAGUCUGUGGAGGAAUCUCUCGAUGACCGUGUCAAAAAGAAAGCGGAUCGUUAUUGUAAAUAAUCAGGUCACUUCUCGCGCUAUUUUCCUCUAGGCAUUGGUCAUAAUGGAACUACUUUUAUGGUAUGGUAUGGUAUGGUAAUCUAUGUAGACUCUCAUGUGCCAUUACCAUUGAAGCAAUUUUCGUUCAAGCUGAUUGUAACUACACUUCUUUUUCCCUUUAAUAGUUUUGCUCUCCCCCACUGUCUAAUAGGAGGCCAAAUUUGUACCAGCUAACAUGAGAACAUGACUGUAUCUUUAGUUAUAUAUGGACACUUUGUAGAAAGAUGGCCUUAUGGGUUAUUCCAACAAUUCACC